GACAGAGGAUGCAAGCGUUAUCCGGAAUGAUUGGGCGUAAAGCGUCUGUAGGUGGCUUUUUAAGUCCGCCGUCAAAUCCCAGGGCUCAACCCUGGACAGGCGGUGGAAACUACCAAGCUGGAGUACGGUAGGGGCAGAGGGAAUUUCCGGUGGAGCGGUGAAAUGCGUAGAUAUUGGGAGGAACACCAGUGGCGAAAGCGACUUUCUGGGCCAUUCCGUGACGCUGAGGUUCGAAAGCUCGGGGAGCAAACAGGG
rnacentral:rRNA from 1 species